rnacentral:rRNA from 1 species
AACCUCCGCAAUGUGAGAAAUCGCGACGGGGGGAUCCCAAGUGCCAUUCUUAACGGGAUGGCUUUUCAUUAGUGUAAAAAGCUUUUGGAAUAAGAGCUGGGCAAGACCGGUGCCAGCCGCCGCGGUAACACCGGCAGCUCUAGUGGUAGCAAUUUUUAUUGGGCCUAAAGCGUCCGUAGCCGGUUUAAUAAGUCUCUGGUGAAAUCCUGUAGCUUAACUGUGGGAAUUGCUGGAGAUACUAUUAGACUUGAGACCGGGAGAGGUUAGAGGUACUCCCAGGGUAGAGGUGAAAUUCUGUAAUCCUGGGAGGACCGCCUGUUGCGAAGGCGUCUAACUGGAACGGUUCUGACGGUGAGGGACGAAAGUUAGGGGCGCGAACCGGAUUAGAUACCCGGGUAGUCCUAACUGUAAACGAUGCGGACUUGGUGUUGGGGUGGCUUUGAGCUGCUCCAGUGCCGAAGGGAAGCUGUUAAGUCCGCCGCCUGGGAAGUACGGUCGCAAGACUAAAACUUAAAAGGAUU